rnacentral:rRNA from 1 species
GACGAACGCUGGCGGCGUGCCUAAUACAUGCAAGUCGAACGCAGUGGGGACGGGUGAGUAACACGUGGGUAACCUCCCAUCAGAGGGGAUAACACUUGGACACAGGUGCUAAACCGAUACAGAUGGAUGGACCCGGGGUGGCUUAGCUAGUCGGUGAGGUAACGGCUCACUAAGGCGACGAUGCAUAACUGGCCUGAGAGGGUGAUCGGCCACACUGGAACUGAGACACGGCCCAGACUCCUACGGGAGGCAGCAGUAGGGAAUCUUCGGCAAUGGGCGAAAGUCUGACCGAGCAACGCCGCGUGAGUGAAGAAGGUUUUCGGAUCGUAAAACUCUGUUGUUAGAGAAGCGGUAUCUAACCAGAAAGCCACGGCUAACUACGUGCCAGCAGCCGCGGUAAUAC